AGCGAACGCUGGCGGCAGGCCUAACACAUGCAAGUCGAACGAACUCUUCGGAGUUAGUGGCGGACGGGUGAGUAACACGUGGGAACGUGCCUUUAGGUUCGGAAUAACUCAGGGAAACUUGAGCUAAUACCGGAUGUGCCCUUCGGGGGAAAGAUUUAUCGCCUUUAGAGCGGCCCGCGUCUGAUUAGCCAGUUGGUGAGGUAAAGGCUCACCAAGGCGACGAUCAGUAGCUGGUCUGAGAGGAUGAUCAGCCACAUUGGGACUGAGACACGGCCCAAACUCCUACGGGAGGCAGCAGUGGGGAAUCUUGCGCAAUGGGCGAAAGCCUGACGCAGCCAUGCCGCGUGAAUGAUGAAGGUCUUAGGAUUGUAAAAUUCUUUCACCGGGGACGAUAAUGACGGUACCCGGAGAAGAAGCCCCGGCUAACUUCGUG
rnacentral:rRNA from 1 species